AACGAACGCUGGCGGCAGGCCUAAUACGUGCAAGUCGAACGCACUCUUCGGAGUGAGUGGCGAACGGGUGAGUAACGCGUGGGAAUCUACCCUUUGGUACGGAAUAACCCUUCUAACGGAGGGCUAAUACCGUAUGAGCCCUUCGGGGGAAAGAUUUAUCGCCAUUGGAUGAGCCCGCGUUGGAUUAGCUAGUUGGUGAGGUAAAAGCUCACCAAGGCGACGAUCCAUAGCUGGUCUGAGAGGAUGAUCAGCCACACUGGGACUGAGACACGGCCCAGACUCCUACGGGAGGCAGCAGUAGGGAAUCUUGGACAAUGGGCGAAAGCCUGAUCCAGCCAUGCCGCGUGAAUGAUGAAGGCCUUAGGGUUGUAAAAUUCUUUCACCAGGGAAGAUAAUGACGGUACCUGGAGAAGAAGCCCCGGCUAACUCCGUG
rnacentral:rRNA from 1 species